GCUGCAUACAAAAGAAAGAGUUAAAAAAAAACUACUUAUCCUCUGGCACCGGGCACAUUGCAAAAGUGCAACCUCUACUUUGAGCUCAAGAAACAUCCUGCAUGCAACAGCCCAUGGGGGUAUAUACUAUACCUAAACUGCUCUACAGAAGCAAAAGGAACAGGCAAUCGGUGAAAUCUUUAGCAUCCCACUGCUGGAAAUUGCUCACCAUCAUUCACAGACCUCCCAGCGCUAUUACCAGAGGGCAGCUCAAAGGAACACAAAUGCAGAUGAAUGAAGCUCUUAAAUAGAGAGAAGCGAAGACAAUAAAAAGGCGCUUUGCUGAAUAGAAUGCACGGGGGCUAGUCGCUGGCGUUUCACUGCCCAGGCAUUUCUUAAUCAUUUUACAUCACUCUUUUAAAAGACAACAUAUGUUUUAUAGCCGGCCUUUCUGUAAACAAAUGUGAAAUAAAAUGCAGUUUGUAGGUGCCUGGGGGCAUAGAUUACAACAUUGUGUGCAUCUCCCUUCAUAUACAUUCACUAAGAAAAAAUAUUGGAGCUUUGAGCCCCUAAGCUUCUUUUUCCUCCCCCUCCCCAUCUUUUCUUAUUUCCUGUCUGUUGUUCUUUGUACUAUAUUUUUUCUUGUAAAUAAAGUGUAUGCAGUUUG